rnacentral:rRNA from 1 species
UAGGGAAUCUUCGGCAAUGGGGGGAACCCUGACCGAGCAACGCCGCGUGAGUGAAGAAGGAUUUCGGUUCGUAAAACUCUGUUGUUAGAGAAGAACAGCGCAUAGAGUAACUGUUAUGCGUGUGACGGUAUCUAACCAGAAAGCCACGGCUAACUACGUGCCAGCAGCCGCGGUAAUACGUAGGUGGCAAGCGUUGUCCGGAUUUAUUGGGCGUAAAGCGAGCGCAGGCGGUCAAUUAAGUCUGAUGUGAAAGCCCCCGGCUCAACCGGGGAGGGUCAUUGGAAACUGGUUGACUUGAGUGCAGAAGAGGAGAGUGGAACUCCAUGUGUAGCGGUGAAAUGCGUAGAUAUAUGGAGGAACACCAGUGGCGAAGGCGACUCUCUGGUCUGUAACUGACGCUGAGGCUCGAAAGCGUGGGUAGCAAACAGG